rnacentral:miRNA from 1 species
AUACAUAUGUGAAUGGAAUUCACAUAUGUGUGAUUGAAAUUCACGUAUGAGUGAAAUUCACGUAUGAGUGAAUUUCAUUCACCUACAGGUGAAUUUCAUUCACGUAUGGGU